rnacentral:rRNA from 1 species
GUGCCAGCCGCCGCGGUAAUACGGAGGGUGCAAGCGUUAAUCGGAAUCACUGGGCGUAAAGCGCACGUAGGCGGUGCCGUAAGUCGGAUGUGAAAGCCCUCGGCUCAACCGGGGAACUGCAUUCGAUACUGCGGUGCUUGAGUGUCGGAGAGGGUGGCGGAAUUCCAGGUGUAGGAGUGAAAUCCGUAGAUAUCUGGAGGAACACCAGUGGCGAAGGCGGCCACCUGGCCGACAACUGACGCUGAGGUGC